rnacentral:rRNA from 1 species
GAGGGUGAUCGGCCACACUGGGACUGAGACACGGCCCAGACUCCUACGGGAGGCAGCAGUAGGGAAUCUUCGGCAAUGGACGAAAGUCUGGCCGAGCAACGCCGCGUGAGUGAAGAAGGUUUUCGGAUCGUAAAACUCUGUUGUUAGAGAAGAACAAGGAUGAGAGUAAAAUGUCAUC